AGAAUCAACGCUGGCGGCGUGCCUAACACAUGCAAGUCGAACGAGAAAGUGGAGCAAUCCAUGAGUAAAGUGGCGACCGGGUGAGUAACACGUGACUAAUCUACCUUCGAGUGGGGGAUAACCUCGGGAAACCGAGGCUAAUACCGCAUAACAUCGCAAGAUCAAAGCAGCAAUGCGCUGGAAGAGGGGGUCGCGGCUGAUUAGCUAGUUGGCGGGUAACGCCCACCAAGGCGAAGAUCGGUA
rnacentral:rRNA from 1 species